rnacentral:rRNA from 1 species
AGAGUUUGAUCCUGGCUCAGGACGAACGCUGGCGGCGUGCCUAAUACAUGCAAGUCGAACGAGAGCGACCGGUGCUUGCCCUGGUCAAUCUAGUGGUGAACGGGUGAGUAACACGUGGGUAACCUGCCCAUCAGAGGGGGAUAACAUUCGGAAACGGAUGCUAAAACCGCAUAGGUCCUUUAACCGCAUGGUUGAAGGAGGAAAAGAGGCGCAAGCUUCUGCUGAUGGAUGGACCCGCGGUGCAUUAGCUAGUUGGUGAGGUAACGGCUCACCAAGGCCGUGAUGCAUAGCCGACCUGAGAGGGUGAUCGGCCACAUUGGGACUGAGACACGGCCCAAACUCCUACGGGAGGCAGCAGUAGGGAAUCUUCCGCAAUGGACGCAAGUCUGACGGAGCAACGCCGCGUGAGUGAAGAAGGUUUUCGGAUCGUAAAACUCUGUUGUUAGAGAAGAACAAGUGCUAGAGUAACUGUUAGCGCCUUGACGGUAUCUAACCAGAAAGCCACGGCUAACUACGUGCCAGCAGCCGCGGUAAUACGUAGGUGGCAAGCGUUGUCCGGAUUUAUUGGGCGUAAAGCGAGCGCAGGCGGUUCCUUAAGUCUGAUGUGAAAGCCCCCGGCUCAACCGGGGAGGGUCAUUGGAAACUGGGGAACUUGAGUGCAGAAGAGGAGAGUGGAAUUCCAUGUGUAGCGGUGAAAUGCGUAGAUAUAUGGAGGAACACCAGUGGCGAAGGCGACUCUCUGGUCUGUAACUGACGCUGAGGCUCGAAAGCGUGGGUAGCAAACAGGAUUAGAUACCCUGGUAGUCCACGCCGUAACGAUGAGUGCUAAGUGUUGGAGGGUUUCCGCCCUUCAGUGCUGCAGUUAACGC